AGAGUUUGAUCAUGGCUCAGAUUGAACGCUGGCGGCAGGCCUAACACAUGCAAGUCGAGCGGCAGCGACAACAUUGACCCUUCGGGUGAUUUGUUGGGCGGCGAGCGGCGGACGGGUGAGUAAUGGCUGGGAACCUGCCCGAUAGAGGGGGAUAACAGUUGGAAACGACUGCUAAUACCGCAUGAUGUCUACGGACCAAAGAGGGGGCUCUUCGGACCUCUCGCUAUCGGAUGGGCCCAGUUGGGAUUAGCUAGUUGGUGAGGUAAUGGCUCACCAAGGCGACGAUCCCUAGCUGGUUUGAGAGGAUGAUCAGCCACACUGGAACUGAGACACGGUCCAGACUCCUACGGGAGGCAGCAGUGGGGAAUAUUGCACAAUGGGCGCAAGCCUGAUGCAGCCAUGCCGCGUGUGUGAAGAAGGCCUUCGGGUUGUAAAGCACUUUCAGCAGUGAGGAAGGUUACGUAGUUAAUACCUGCGUAAUUUGACGUUAGCUGCAGAAGAAGCACCGGCUAACUCCGUGCCAGCAGCCGCGGUAAUACGGAGGGUGCGAGCGUUAAUCGGAAUUACUGGGCGUAAAGCGCAUGCAGGCGGUUUGUUAAGCAAGAUGUGAAAGCCCCGGGCUUAACCUGGGAACAGCAUUUUGAACUGGCAGGCUAGAGUCUUGUAGAGGGGGGUAGAAUUUCAGGUGUAGCGGUGAAAU
rnacentral:rRNA from 1 species